rnacentral:rRNA from 1 species
UGCCAGACUCCUACGGGAGGCAGCAGUGGGGAAUAUUGCACAAUGGGGGGAACCCUGAUGCAGCGACGCCGCGUGAGUGAAGAAGUAUUUCGGUAUGUAAAGCUCUGUCAGCAGGGAAGAAGAAAGACGGUACCUGACCAAGAAGCCCCGGCUAACUACGUGCCAGCAGCCGCGGUAAUACGUAGGGGGCAAGCGUUAUCCGGAUUUACUGGGUGUAAAGGGGGCGCAGACGGCGACGCAAGCCAGGAGUGAAAGCCCGGGGCCCAACCCCGGGACUGCUCUUGGAACUGCGUGGCUAGAGUGCAGGAGGGGCAGGCGGAAUUCCUGGUGUAGCGGUGAAAUGCGUAGAUAUCAGGAGGAACACCGGUGGCGAAGGCGGCCUGCUGGACUGCAACUGACGUUGAGGCCCGAAAGCGUGGGGAGCAAACAGGAUUAGAUACCCCAGUA